AUGGAAUAUAUGAGGAAUAUUGGAGCCAAUAAGUACCAGAGGGGGCCCACCAGGUGGGCACAACCCACCUGGGCGCGCCAGGGAGCCCAGGCGCGCCCUGGUGGGUUGUGCUCCCUCGGCCCACCUCCGGUGCCCAUCUUCUGGUAUAUAAGUCAUUUUGGCCUAGAAAAAAUAAAGAGAGGACUUUCAGACGGAGCGCCGCCGUCUCGAGGCGGAACUUGGGCAGGAGCACUUUUGCCCUCCGGCGGAGCAAUUCUGCCAGGGGAACUUCCCUCCCGGAGGGGGAAAUUAUCGUCAUCAUCAUCACCAACAACUCUCCCAUCUUGGGGAGGGCAAUCUCUAUCAACAUCUUCAACAACACCAUCUCCUCUCAAACCCUAG
rnacentral:rRNA from 1 species